rnacentral:rRNA from 1 species
GACGAACGAGGGAGGGGGGAAGAAUACAUGCAAGUAGAACGCUGAAGAGAGGAGCUUGCUCUUCUUGGAUGAGUUGCGAACGGGUGAGUAACGCGUAGGUAACCUGCCUUGUAGCGGGGGAUAACUAUUGGAAACGAUAGCUAAUACCGCAUAACAAUGGAUGACACAUGUCAUUUAUUUGAAAGGGGCAAUUGCUCCACUACAAGAUGGACCUGCGUUGUAUUAGCUAGUAGGUGAGGUAAUGGCUCACCUAGGCGACGAUACAUAGCCGACCUGAGAGGGUGAUCGGCCACACUGGGACUGAGACACGGCCCAGACUCCUACGGGAGGCAGCAGUAGGGAAUCUUCGGCAAUGGGGGCAACCCUGACCGAGCAACGCCGCGUGAGUGAAGAAGGUUUUCGGAUCGUAAAGCUCUGUUGUAAGUCAAGAACGGGUGUGAGAGUGGAAAGUUCACACUGUGACGGUAGCUUACCAGAAAGGGACGGCUAUCUACGUU